UCACUGGUGCUCUAGUGGUUAGGAUUCAGCGCUUUUAUUGCUGUGACCUGGGUUCAGUCCCUGGUCAGGGAC
rnacentral:tRNA from 1 species